UUGUACUAAUCCUUUUCCAAAAGAUCGUUUUCCCAUUAUUACAGCCCUAUCGUAAUCUUGUAAUGCUCCAGUAACAAUUUCUGAUGCAGAUGCAGAACGACCAUUAAUUAACACAACUAUUGGUAUCUCUAAAUCUAAAGGUUCAUUUCUAGAUAAGUAGGUAUUGCUCCAUUUUUUAACUUUGGCUUUUGUGGUUGUAAUUACUUUUCCUUUUGGUAAAAAAAAGUUAGAAAUAUUUACUGCUUCGCCAAGUAAACCUCCUGGGUUU
rnacentral:ncRNA from 1 species